GGAGGGCUCGCAUAGUGGCCUAGUGCGGCGGUCUUGAAAACCGCUAUGCGGCAACCCCAUCGUGGGUUCGAAUCCCACGCCCUCCG
rnacentral:tRNA from 1 species